rnacentral:rRNA from 1 species
AUUGAACGCUGGCGGCAUGCCUUACACAUGCAAGUCGAACGGCAGCACGGGAGCAAUCCUGGUGGCGAGUGGCGAACGGGUGAGUAAUACAUCGGAACGUGCCCAGUAGUGGGGGAGUAACCGGCGAAGACCGGACUAAUACCGCAUACGACCUACGGGUGAAAGCAGGGAGUCGCAAGACCUUGCGCUAUCGGAGCGGCCG